CGGAAUAGACUCAUUUAGUUCAUGAGAACGAUGGAAAAAUUGUUGCUGUUGCAGGAUUCCUUGAGGAAAGCCAUGAACUAAACUCAGCUCUAUACAACAUUUUGUCCGUUAGGGAAGCAUUUCAAUAUGAAGGACAAAGUUUCGAAGGAGAAAUUCAACUGUCGAGCAGAGAUUCGCAUAGACAGGGCAAGAUUUAUCUAGAGGAUCUGAUUGACAAUAACUGUCCUUUCUACAGGUAUGAGGGUUCCAUAGGUUUUCCCCCAUGUAAUGAAGGAGUCACCUGGUUGAUAUGUAGAAAACAAAAAGCUGUAUGCAGUUAUCAAUUGAAUCAGCUGUUUUCAUUGUAUUCGGUGAAGGAAGAUACACCAGAUGCUGAACAAUGUCAUAUGUUAAACAUUUAUAGACCAUUGCAGCCAUUAAACGGUAGAAAAGUUUACAAGUAAUAAACUACUUGUAUCAAAUUCUCCUGUAAUGCUUUUAAUAAAUAAAGGCUAUCUUUGAUUCUA